GUUGACUUUGACGUUGACUUUGAUGUUGACUUUGAUAUAGACUGUGUUGUAGACUGUGAUGUAAACUGUGAUGUUGACUGUGAUGUUGACAGUUGACAUAGACUGUGAUGUUGACUUUGAGGUAGACUGUGAUGUGAACUGUAACGUAGACCUUCAUGUUGCCUUUAAUGAUGACUUUGAUGUAGACUGUGUUGUAGCCUGUGAUGUUGACUUUGAUGUAGACUGUGCUAUAGACUGUGAUGUAUACUGUGAUGUAGACUUUGAUGUUGACUGUGAUGUUGAUUGUGAUGUUGACUUUGAUAUAGACUUAUCUUGACUGUGAGGUUGAGUAUGAUGUUGACUGUGAUGUUGUUUGUUCUUUGAUAUAGACUUAUCUUGACUGUGAGGUUGAGUAUGAUGUUGACUGUGAUGUUGUUUGUGGUGUUUGCUUUGACGUAGACUGUAUUGUCAACUAACUGUGCGUUAAUGGGUGAGUAUAACAAGCAUGUUGAGCUUCACAACACUAUCAGAAGUUUGGAAAAAGGGCUAUAAAAAUAGAAGACCAUUUACCAUUUUCAUACAUACAUUCUCACUGAUACGUACAAACUAAUCACAAUUACGUCCAUACAUACUCUCUCACUCUUAUGCCUUGCAUGGCAGACUCCACCAUCAGUGUUUGAAUGUGUGUGUGAACAAGUGUUGAGCGGUCAGAAAACUGAAAAAGCACUGUAGAAAUGCAAGACAAUUCACCAUUUACAUACAUACAUACAUACAUACAUACAUACAGACCUAUUCUUACGUACAUCCCCACUUUUACAUACAUACGUACAAACUCACUGUUACGUACAUUCCCACUUUUACAUACAUACUUACACACUCACUAUUACGUACAUACCCACUUUUACAUACAUACGUACAUACUCACUGUUGCGUACAAAUUAAUUACAGCCAUGUACAUACAUACUCACUCUCUCACAUAUACAUACUCACUUUUACAUACAUACAUGUUAACUUUUGCGUAUAUACCCAUUUUUUAUGUAAAGUAUUUUGAUGUAUAACAAUAUCAGAAUACUAAUGAGUAGACACACAAUAUAAACAUUCAUUAGAGAAGGGCAAGGACAAUGUUCAAAGCUGAGCUGAACCAGUGGAGAUGUGGGCCACCAGGAACAAGGUAUCCAGAAGAAAUCACCCCAAUCUCAAAUACGCACACACACGCACACUUGAAAGAUCAAGCCAGUGGUGGACAACUAAACACAACACACAGGAACAAUUCUUAUCCAUCCCAUCCCAUUCACAGGCCUGCCUCCAACCCUGCACCCCUAAACACUUUCUGCACGAAGAUUUUUGGAAUUUGAACAGUUGACACAAAAUUCACUUUGGAUAGAGAGACGUCUUUUUCAAUAGCUUCCAGGUCAUUUGAUAUAUUGACUCAAAAUCAAUGCUGCAAUGUCUUCUGAUACUAGUUGAAUGGGAAAGACCCGAUUUUAUUGGAUUUUGGUGGAAUUCCUAUUUCAAGUCUAACCUUCAGUCAUUCACUAAAGUCAGUGACUGAUCUAGAUUUUUUUUUAAAAAAACUGUCAUUACAAAUAGAUACAAAUCAACACCAAAUGGCCUGAAACAGGCUCUGAAACACUUUGUGAUGCAUCCUGUUCACUUUGCACAGGGACAUGUCGUUCUCAAUAUUCAGAAAUAUGAUCUCUCUUGUUUGAUCCCACUGACCCUCCGAACUAAAACUAAAUGACAAUAACACAAGACUUAAAGGAAAAUCAGCGUUUUCACUAUAAACUCUGAUGUGCUGCAGUCAGCAUUUUAUUAUAUAAAUGACAGUCAACAAUCCCAACGUGUUCUGAGCCACAUUUACUGUCAGUGGUUUCUUCCUGUGAUGUCACGGCGUACCUGUGGUGUCAGAUCUUCAGACUGUGAGAGCUCUCUGACUGUGAGAAGUUUGAUUUGUGCUGCAGAGUGUGAGCAAAGCUCAGAUAGUUAACACUGAGAUCUGAUGUGAAUCUCUUUUCAGCUGUCAUGGGCUCAAACAUGAACAAGCAGUUCAGGAGGAGAUUUGACGUUUAGAGAUUUGAAGUUGGAAACAUUCACACAGAGAAAAGUACAUUAUGUGUAGUGAAAGUACUAUCCACUGUUUCCUCUGAGGGAUGUGGUUUCUUUACUUUAACUUAAUUUCUUUUUUAUUAUUCAUACAAGAAUGUUUUAAUUUAACAAAACAGGUAGAGAUUUGA